GAUGAAGAACGUAGCGAAAUGCGAUAAGUAGUGUGAAUUGCAGAAUUCAGUGAAUCAUCGAAUCUUUGAACGCACAUUGCGCCCCUUGGUAUUCCAUGGGGCAUGCCUGUUCGAGCGUCAUUUGUACCUUCAAGCUCUGCUUGGUGUUGGGUGUUUGUUUCGCCUCUGCGUGUAGACUCGCCUCAAAACAAUUGGCAGCCGGCGUAUUGAUUUCGGAGCGCAGUACAUCUCGCGCUUUGCACUCAUAACGACGACGUCCAAAAGUACAUUUUUACACUCUUGACCUCGGAUCAGGUAGGGAUACCCGCUGAACUUAAGCAUAUCAAUAAGCGGAGGA
rnacentral:misc_RNA from 1 species